UUAGUUAAUGGCAGAAGUAACCUUUUGGAAGUUAAUGUUUCAGAAGUAGAUCACCAUGAAAGACAAGUAGAGGAAGCUCAGCAGAAAGGAUUGUCCCUCACUGAUGGAGAUAAGGU